rnacentral:rRNA from 1 species
UAGGGAAUCUUCGGCAAUGGACGAAAGUCUGACCGAGCAACGCCGCGUGAGUGAAGAAGGUUUUCGGAUCGUAAAACUCUGUUGUUAGAGAAGAACGUUGCAUAGAGUGGAAAAUUAUGCAAGUGACGGUAUCUAACCAGAAAGGGACGGCUAACUACGUGCCAGCAGCCGCGGUAAUACGUAGGUCCCGAGCGUUGUCCGGAUUUAUUGGGCGUAAAGCGAGCGCAGGUGGUUUAAUAAGUCUGAUGUAAAAGGCAGUGGCUCAACCAUUGUGUGCAUUGGAAACUGUUAGACUUGAGUGCAGUAGAGGAGAGUGGAAUUCCAUGUGUAGCGGUGAAAUGCGUAGAUAUAUGGAGGAACACCGGUGGCGAAAGCGGCUCUCUGGACUGUCACUGACACUGAGGCUCGAAAGCGUGGGUAGCAAACAGGAUUAGAUACCCUGGUAGUCCACGCCGUAAACGAUGAGUGCUAGUUGUUUG